rnacentral:rRNA from 1 species
AGCGAACGCUGGCGGCAGGCUUAACACAUGCAAGUCGAACGCCCGGGCAACCGGGAGUGGCAGACGGGUGAGUAACGCGUGGGAACGUACCCUUUGGUUCGGAAUAACUCAGGGAAACUUGAGCUAAUACCGGAUAAGCCCUUUUGGGGAAAGAUUUAUCGCCGAAGGAUCGGCCCGCGUCCGAUUAGCUAGUUGGUGUGGUAACGGCGCACCAAGGCGACGAUCGGUAGCUGGUCUGAGAGGAUGAUCAGCCACACUGGGACUGAGACACGGCCCAGACUCCUACGGGAGGCAGCAGUGGGGAAUAUUGGACAAUGGGGGCAACCCUGAUCCAGCCAUGCCGCGUGAGUGAUGAAGGCCUUAGGGUUGUAAAGCUCUUUCGGCGGGGACGAUAAUGACGGUACCCGCAGAAGAAGCCCCGGCUAACUUCGUGCCAGCCGCCGCGGUAAGAC